CAGAGGUCACAUCUGCCCCUUUUCCAAAGUAGAUAGAAAUCAAAAUCACAUGAUGCCACGAGGGAAGCUCCUAUCUUGUGGAUCAUGUGAUGGAUAUUGUCCUGCUACUAAGGAUUGUUUAUAUAGCCACAAGUGUAAUUAUCCCAGAUUGUGAAAUUACUGUGCGAGAAAUCUAAAAUAGCCAAGUAGCUCCAGACAGAAGUGAAUCUUGUGUAUAGUAGAGCUACUGCAUGGGUUUACAAAGGACAGAUUAAGAUAAUAGUAAUUUAAAAACCCUUCCCCCAAUUUAUUUAUAUAUUAGGUAAUUAACAAAAUAGGAACCCAUACGUUUGCACAUCUUGAAAUAGAACCACCGACCGCUGGCCUAACCACACAGAUCUUUUAAUAGAAAACGCGGUUGCCUAAUACUUCCCCACCAGAAAUGUUCAGAUUAAGCUCACUAUUAGAUUGCAGCCAGAAGAGUCUCCAAAACAGGAAGAAAAGCCUCGCUCCGCUCUCUGCCCCCUUUCCUUGUUUAAGUCAACGUGAUAAUUCAUUACAGAUUUUUCUCUUUCUUUGACAGAGCGCCUACCGCAGAAACGGGAUGACUUUUCUUGCUUGCUAACGUGGAUGUGGCCAGAUCGACCGGAAAGGCAGAGUUAUAUUAAGAAUUCUCUUUGCUGUACAUCAAGGCUGUAGCAGUGGAGACCCCAGGUUCUAUGGAGAACAGGGGAAAGGCUCUGGCUGGACCCAUGGACAAGCACUCCUGCAGUAUAAAUAAUAACCUAGCCCCAGAUGUGAAGAAUUCAACCCGGGACAUUCACAAACAUGACACACUACUGUCUUAUCAUGGCUUUCUUCUGCUCUAGAAGAUCUGCUUUGGAAUGCCCUUCUGGAUCUAAUCUGCAUGUUAACGCAAUGAAAAUAUCGUGUGCCGCACAGUGCAUUAAAAGGCGAGAGCAACGUUUCGGAUCUGUCUGUGCUUGUUGAAAUGUAUGAUUAAACUUUUCUUUUUAUCAUCA